CACUUCUAGCAUAACAAUUAUUAGAGGCACUGCCUGCCCAGUGACAUCUGUUAAACGGCCGCGGUAUCCUGACCGUGCAAAGGUAGCAUAAUCAUUUGUUCUCUAAAUAAGGACUUGUAUGAACGGCCACACGAGGGUUUAACUGUCUCUUACUUCCAAUCAGUGAAAUUGACCUUCCCGUGAAGAGGCGGGAAUAACUAAAUAAGACGAGAAGACCCUAUGGAGCUUUAAUUAAUUAACCCAUAACUAAACACCAACUAUCUAAGGAGACAAAAACGCCGUUACUGGGUUAACAAUUUAGGUUGGGGUGACCUCGGAAUACAGCAUAACUUCCGAGUGAUUAAUACAUAGACCAACAAGUCAAAGCAUAUAAUCACUUAUUGAUCCAAAAAGCUUGAUCAACGGAACAAGUUACCCUAGGGAUAACAGCGCAAUCCUAUUUGAGAGUCCAUAUCGAUAAUAGGGUUUACGACCUCGAUGUUGGAUCAGGACAUCCCAAUGGUGCAGCCGCUAUUAAUGGUUCGUUUGUUCAACGAUUAAAGUCCU
rnacentral:rRNA from 1 species